GGUGAACGCUGGCGGCGUGCUUAAGACAUGCAAGUCGAACGGCAGUCUUCGGACUGUAGUGGCGCACGGGUGAGUAACGCGUAACUGACCUACCCCAAAGUCGCGGAUAACGAUUCGAAAGAGUCGCUAAUACGUGAUGUGCUGUCAGAUUGUGUUCUGCCAGUAAAGAUUGAUUGCUUUGGGAUGGGGUUGCGUUCCAUCAGCUAGUUGGUGGGGUAAAGGCCCACCAAGGCGACGACGGAUAGCCGGCCUAGGGGGGUGGCCGGCCACAGGGGCACUGAGACACGAGUCCCACUCCUACGGGAGGCAGCAGUUAGGAAUCUUCCACAAUGGGCGAAAGCCUGAUGGAGCGACGCCGCGUGAGGGAUGAAGGUCUUCGGAUCGUAAACCUCUGAAUCAGGGACGAAAGACACUUCGGUGGGAUGACGGUACCUGAGUAAUAGCACCGGCUAACUCCUUGCCAGCCGCCGCCGUAAGAC
rnacentral:rRNA from 1 species